rnacentral:rRNA from 1 species
GACGAACGCUGGCGGCGUGCUUAACACAUGCAAGUCGAACGGAAAGGCCCUGCUUUUGUGGGGUGCUAGAGUGGCGAACGGGUGAGUAACACGUGAGUAACCUGCCCUUGACUUUGGGAUAACUUCAGGAAACUGGGGCUAAUACCGGAUAGGAGCUCCUGCUGCAUGGUGGGGGUUGGAAAGUUUCGGCGGUUGGGGAUGGACUCGCGGCUUAUCAGCUUGUUGGUGGGGUAGUGGCUUACCAAGGCUUUGACGGGUAGCCGGCCUGAGAGGGUGACCGGCCACAUUGGGACUGAGAGACGGCCCAGACUCCUACGGGAGGCAGCAGUGGGGAAUAUUGCACAAUGGGCGGAAGCCUGAGGCAGCAACGCCGCGUGCGGGAUGACGGCCUUCGGGUUGUAAACCGCUUUCGCCUGUGACGAAGCGUGAGUGACGGUAAUGGGUAAAGAAGCACCGGCUAACUACGUG